CGGCGGACGGGUGAGUAAUGCCUAGGAAUCUGCCUGGUAGUGGGGGACAACGUUUCGAAAGGAACGCUAAUACCGCAUACGUCCUACGGGAGAAAGCAGGGGACCUUCGGGCCUUGCGCUAUCAGAUGAGCCUAGGUCGGAUUAGCUAGUUGGUGAGGUAAUGGCUCACCAAGGCGACGAUCCGUAACUGGUCUGAGAGGAUGAUCAGUCGCACUGGAACUGAGACACGGUCCAGACUCCUACGGGAGGCAGCAGCG
rnacentral:rRNA from 1 species